rnacentral:snRNA from 1 species
AGGAUUCCCUUAGUAACGGC